UACAGAGGGGGCAAGCGUUGUUCGGAAUUACUGGGCGUAAAGGGCGCGUAGGCGGCCCGCUAAGUCGAACGUGAAAUCCCCGAGCUCAACUCGGGAACUGCGUCCGAUACUGGUGGGCUUGAAUCCGGGAGAGGGAUGCGGAAUUCCUGGUGUAGAGGUGAAAUUCGUAGAUAUCAGGAGGAACACCGGUGGCGAAGGCGGCUUCCUGGACACUGACUGACGCUGAGACGCGAAAGCGUGGGGAGCAAACAGG
rnacentral:rRNA from 1 species